rnacentral:rRNA from 1 species
GUGAGGAAUUUUCCGCAAUGGGCGAAAGCCUGACGGAGCAAUGCCGCGUGAAGGAUGAAGGCCUAUGGGUUGUAAACUUCUUUUCUCAGAAAAGAAUUAUGACGGUAUCUGAGGAAUAAGCAUCGGCUAACUCUGUGCCAGCAGCCGCGGUAAGACAGAGGAUGCAAGCGUUAUCCGGAAUGAUUGGGCGUAAAGCGUCUGUAGGUUGUUUAAAAAGUAUUCUGUCAAAGAUUAGGGCUUAACCCUAGAUAGGCAGAAUAAACUUUUAAGCUAGAGUUUGGUAGAGGCAGAGGGAAUUCCCGGUGGAGCGGUGAAAUGCGUAGAUAUCGAGAGGAACACCAAAGGCGAAGGCACUCUGCUGGGCCAAUACUAACACUGAGAGACGAAAGCGAGGGGAGCAAAUGGGAUUAGAAACCCGAGUAGUCC